rnacentral:rRNA from 1 species
GACCGAACCGACUAAUGUUGAAAAAUUAGCGGAUGACUUGUGGCUGGGGGUGAAAGGCCAAUCAAACCGGGAGAUAGCUGGUUCUCCCCGAAAGCUAUUUAGGUAGCGCCUCGUGAAUUCAUCUCCGGGGGUAGAGCACUGUUUCGGCAAGGGGGUCAUCCCGACUUACCAACCCGAUGCAAACUGCGAAUACCGGAGAAUGUUAUCACGGGAGACACACGGCGGGUGCUAACGUCCGUCGUGAAGAGGGAAACAACCCAGACCGCCAGCUAAGGUCCCAAAGUCAUGGUUAAGUGGGAAACGAUGUGGGAAGGCCCAGACAGCCAGGAUGUUGGCUUAGAAGCAGCCAUCAUUUAAAGAAAGCGUAAUAGCUCACUGGUCGAGUCGGCCUGCGCGGAAGAUGUAACGGGGCUAAACCAUGCACCGAAGCUGCGGCAGCGACGCUGAUGCGUUGUUGGGUAGGGGAGCGUUCUGUAAGCCUGUGAAGGUGUGCUGUGAGGCAUGCUGGAGGUAUCAGAAGUGCGAAUGCUGACAUAAGUAACGAUAAAGCGGGUGAAAAGCCCGCUCGCCGGAAGACCAAGGGUUCCUGUCCAACGUUAAUCGGGGCAGGGUGAGUCGACCCCUAAGGCGAGGCCGAAAGGCGUAGUCGAUGGGAAACAGGUUAAUAUUCCUGUACUUGGUGUUACUGCGAAGGGGGGACGGAGAAGGCUAUGUUGGCCGGGCGACGGUUGUCCCGGUUUAAGCGUGUAGGCUGGUUUUCCAGGCAAAUCCGGAAAACUAAGGCUGAGGCGUGAUGACGAGGCACUACGGUGCUGAAGCAACAAAUGCCCUGCUUCCAGGAAAAGCCUCUAAGCAUCAGGUAACAUCAAAUCGUACCCCAAACCGACACAGGUGGUCAGGUAGAGAAUACCAAGGCGCUUGAGAGAACUCGGGUGAAGGAACUAGGCAAAAUGGUGCCGUAACUUCGGGAGAAGGCACGCUGAUAUGUAGGUGAAGUCCCUCGCGGAUGGAGCUGAAAUCAGUCGAAGAUACCAGCUGGCUGCAACUGUUUAUUAAAAACACAGCACUGUGCAAACACGAAAGUGGACGUAUACGGUGUGACGCCUGCCCGGUGCCGGAAGGUUAAUUGAUGGGGUCAGCGCAAGCGAAGCUCUUGAUCGAAGCCCCGGUAAACGGCGGCCGUAACUAUAACGGUCCUAAGGUAGCGAAAUUCCUUGUCGGGUAAGUUCCGACCUGCACGAAUGGCGUAAUGAUGGCCAGGCUGUCUCCACCCGAGACUCAGUGAAAUUGAACUCGCUGUGAAGAUGCAGUGUACCCGCGGCAAGACGGAAAGACCCCGUGAACCUUUACUAUAGCUUGACACUGAACAUUGAGCCUUGAUGUGUAGGAUAGGUGGGAGGCUUUGAAGUGUGGACGCCAGUCUGCAUGGAGCCGACCUUGAAAUACCACCCUUUAAUGUUUGAUGUUCUAACGUUGACCCGUAAUCCGGGUUGCGGACAGUGUCUGGUGGGUAGUUUGACUGGGGCGGUCUCCUCCUAAAGAGUAACGGAGGAGCACGAAGGUUGGCUAAUCCUGGUCGGACAUCAGGAGGUUAGUGCAAUGGCAUAAGCCAGCUUGACUGCGAGCGUGACGGCGCGAGCAGGUGCGAAAGCAGGUCAUAGUGAUCCGGUGGUUCUGAAUGGAAGGGCCAUCGCUCAACGGAUAAAAGGUACUCCGGGGAUAACAGGCUGAUACCGCCCAAGAGUUCAUAUCGACGGCGGUGUUUGGCACCUCGAUGUCGGCUCAUCACAUCCUGGGGCUGAAGUAGGUCCCAAGGGUAUGGCUGUUCGCCAUUUAAAGUGGUACGCGAGCUGGGUUUAGAACGUCGUGAGACAGUUCGGUCCCUAUCUGCCGUGGGCGCUGGAGAACUGAGGGGGGCUGCUCCUAGUACGAGAGGACCGGAGUGGACGCAUCACUGGUGUUCGGGUUGUCAUGCCAAUGGCACUGCCCGGUAGCUAAAUGCGGAAGAGAUAAGUGCUGAAAGCAUCUAAGCACGAAACUUGCCCCGAGAUGAGUUCUCCCUGACUCCUUGAGAGUCCUGAAGGAACGUUGAAG